rnacentral:lncRNA from 1 species
UGUUUGGGGAAAGGCUUGGGAAGGAGGAGAAGCCCAUCGUGGGCUGAACCAGGCCAACGUUAGGCCUUGUCCAGCCCAGUUGAGCAGUACCCUUUGUAGGCCCAACUUAGGCCCAUUUCAGACCCAAAAUCCGAAACUCAGUUCAGACUCGAAACUCGAAAUCCGAAAUCCAGUUCAGACCCAAAAUUCGAAGCCCGGAAUCCGAAACCCGAAACUUGAAUUUGUUUGGCCAAUAGAAAAAAGAAGAAUUUUACAGUUAAGCCCUUGACAGUAUAUUAUUUCACAAAAAGGAUCUUCUGUAAUUAAUGUUUGAUCUCUGUAGAAAGUUUUAUUACAUAAAGAUCCUCAAAUAUAUUAUUUGGUCCUUUACUCAAGUUUUAUUACGGAACAGUACUCUGUAAUUAGGUGUUAGUCCCUACAAUGAAUUUUUAUUGUAUAAAUGAAUCAAUUAGAAACCAACUUUGGAGGCCCUAUUGGACCAGAUCUAUGUAGGCCCAUUGGGCCGUAUCCGUUGUGGGCCCUACCGGGUCAUGCCCAUUAUGGGCCAACUUUGGGUCCUAUUGGGCCGUGUCCAAUAGUAUUAUUUUUAGUUUUUGCUUAGCUCUGAAAUUAACAAAUAAAUUAAUUAAAUUUAAACAGGUGAACCUGAUCCACCUACCUGAAGUAGGAGUUAAGCGA